UGAGACCUGAUGCCGAGCCGAUUGUGGUGAAGUGGAUGAUCCUAUGCUGUCGAGAAAAGCCUCUAGCGAGUUUCAUGGCGGCCCGUACCCUAAACCGACUCAGGUGGUCAGGUAGAGAAUACCGAGGCGUUCGGGUGAACUAUGGUUAAGGAACUCGGCAAAAUGCCCCCGUAACUUCGGGAGAAGGGGGGCCACGGCUGGUGAU
rnacentral:rRNA from 2 species